GCCGCCAUGGCGGAAAUGGAAGACGCGCCUGGUUUAGGCCCAGGUGGGUUUUGCCCGUCCAGGUUCGAUUCCUGGUGGCGGCA
rnacentral:tRNA from 1 species